rnacentral:lncRNA from 10 species
UCACCAUGUUGUUUCCCAGGCUGGUCUACAACUCCUGGGCUCAAGUGAUCCGCCCAUCUUGGCCUCCCAAAGUGCUGGGAUUACAGGCAUGAGCCACCAUGCCUGGCCAAGGUGUGUGUUUUUUGUUCCCCAGAUAGCUGUCCUGAAAUGAAUCUUUGAGACUAUGCAGACAAGCACCAAACUAGAACCAAAUUUAUUUAUCAGAAUUAUUGAGUUGGAUGAAACAGAAAAUAAGCCAACAGAACACUUAAAAAUACAAGUUUAUUUUCUCCAUAUUGUUAAGUCUAAUUAUGAUUUAUUUCAAAAUCAUGAAAAGCAGAGCCUAGCAUACCAAAUGCUAGGUCAGAUUUGCUCUGGAAACUUACUUUCUAGAUUAUUUUUUGGACUUACUUAAAAAAUAAUUAAUUUCCAUUAAUAUAGCACUAAUAGCCUCCAAAUUAUACUGCAGAAUUCCUAUAUGUAACCUUUUUUAAAAAAAUAAUUCAUCACCUGAAAAAGAUAUAUUUACUACAGUUAAGUUUUUAAGUCAAGAGUUUUCUCUGGGAAUUGAUAUAUUUUAUCUAUAAUGUCUCCACUUCUCCAUACUUUCAUCAAAGUGUCACUGAAGCAGCUAAAUGCAGUCCUGUGGGGCUAGGUCUACAACAUCUGCUUAGGUUUAUUUUAGUGGACAUGGUUCCAGUCUAAGAGCAAUGGGCCACUGUUCUAGGUCCUAAUGUACAGCCAUAGAGCCAUAGAGAUGAGGUAUUUCGAUUUGAACAGAAGGAACAUUUUGACCCAGGCACUACAUUUACCACUCAUGCAGACGUGGUAGACCGCGUGUGCUAAACUGAACACCAAAGCCAUCAUUCAGACCCACACAGUGCUGGUCUCAUGGACCCAUGCAGUCACACAGAGCCUCAUGCUCAGAAGGGCACUGUGCUUGGUGUGACAACUGCUGUUGCCAUCUCGAAUUUCUUAAUAAUUUUUGAAUGAUGGGACUGCAUUUUCACUGUUCACUGGGCUCUGCAAAUUAUGUCGCCAGUCCUAGAUAUACAUAAAAGUUGCUUUGGCCUGAUUCAUCUGACUUGUGAUCUGUGUUUUCACCUGGCAUUGAAGAUAGAGCUGUGGGUAGUUCCCAGUAGCAGGAUGAUUCUAGUUCUAGAACAUUUUCAAAGGUAUAGAAGUUGUUCGUCAUGUAAUUCACUGCGAACAGUAAAGGAAGGAAGCCCACAAAGAUGAUUUUUAUUUAUCUAUAAGUCUAUAGAACUGAAAUUAUGCUCUUUGGAAUACGGAAGAAUCAAGCCCAACUGUGAUAUAUAUAUAUAUAUAUACACACACACAUACAUAUAUAUAUAUAAAACUGUGAUAUAUAUGUGUGAUAUAUAUAUAUUAGCAUAUAUAUGUUAUAUAUAUAUUAGCAUAUAUAUGUUAUAUAUAUAUAUUAGCAUAAUGAAAUGAAAGAACUGGUUCAUUUGAAGAGGAAAUAUGUAUGCACAUGUGCCAAUAAGCUAAAUAUAAAUGUAUUCCUCUCUAAUCUUUUUUUCAUCAUCAAUAAAUUAUUUCAGCAAUUCAAAUAAAAAGAAUCUGUACAAGGUCUGAACUUGGCUAUUGUUUAUCAGAAUAGUGAAAACAUCCUCUUCUGAAUUAGAAAGUACUCUUCCUGCCUUUCUUCAAAAGAAUAGUAGGGAAUAGUUGGUCCAGAAGUGCCACAAAAUGUUUAUCCUCCAUUUAUAGAUAGGAAUAAACAUUUCAUUAUAGGGCAUGGUCUUCUGUACAGGUGGGUAGAGUGUGAUUUUAAAAGGACAGGUUGCCAAAGAAGAGGAGUUUUUUUCUAGAUACCUGUGAGAUGGGGAAAAGCUCAAAGGGCAAGGAAGAAGAAUCAUCUAGACCUUCAAAGGCCACGCAGGGCUUCCAACUCUGGCUGUGAAUUAGAAUCACCUGAAGAAUCUAGAAAAAUAUUGAUGUCUGGGUCUCAUCCCACAGUAAUUAAAUUAUAACCUGGGAAUGGAGCGCAGGCAAGUAGUGUUCUUCCUAACUUGG